UACGAAGGGGGCUAGCGUUGUUCGGAAUUACUGGGCGUAAAGCGUGCGCAGGCGGUUGUGCAAGACAGGUGUGAAAUCCCCGGGCUUAACCUGGGAACUGCACUUGUGACUGCACGGCUGGAGUGCGGCAGAGGGGGAUGGAAUUCCGCGUGUAGCAGUGAAAUGCGUAGAUAUGCGGAGGAACACCGAUGGCGAAGGCAAUCCCCUGGGCCUGCACUGACGCUCAUGCACGAAAGCGUGGGGAGCAAACAGG
rnacentral:rRNA from 1 species